AAGUCGUAACAAGGUAGCCGUAUCGGAAGGUGCGGCUGGAUCACCUCCUUUCUAAGGAGAAAGGCUUUUACUAUACUGUUUAAUUUUGAGGGACUUUUGUUUCUCAAUAAGCAGACAACCAAAAUCUUAGAUUUUGUGUUAGUCGCUUAGUUAAAAAUUCUGUAAUUCACGACAAUAGUUUUAAACCAACAAAAAAUGAAUGGAAGAAUUUUUAACAUCUAUAGUCUUUUAGAUUGUUCUUUGAAAACUAAACAAUGAUAUGAGAAAAGAAAAGCUGAAGUAAUUCACUAAAGGUCAAGUUAUUAAGGGCAAAGGGUGGAUGCCUUGGCACUAGGAGCCGAAGAAGGACGUGGUAAGCUGCGAAAAGCCACGGGGAGCUGCAAGCAAGUAUUGAUCCGUGGAUGUCCGAAUGGGGAAACCCA
rnacentral:misc_RNA from 1 species